UGGGGAACUCUCAUGCCAUUUAUUUUGGUGUGGUUGGAAAUCAGGACUGUUACUUUGAAAAAAUUAGAGUCGUUUAAAGCAGGCUAACGUCUGAAUACAUUAGCAUGGAAUAAUGAAAUAGGACGGAUUGAUUCUAUUUCGUUGGUUUCUAGGGUCACCGUAAUGAUUAAUAGGGAUAGUUGGGGGCAUUAGUAUUCAAUUGUCAGAGGUGAAAUUCUUGGAUUUAUUGAAGACUAACUACUGCGAAAGCAUUUGCCAAGGAUGUUUUCAUUAAUCAAGAACGAAAGUUAGGGGAUCGAAGACGAUCAGAUACCGUCGUAGUCUUAACCAUAAACUAUGCCGACUAGGGAUCGGACGCAGUUAACUUUAUAAUGACGUGUUCGGCACCUUACG
rnacentral:rRNA from 1 species